rnacentral:rRNA from 1 species
AGGACGAACGCUGGCGGCGUGCUUUACACAUGCAAGUCGAACGGUGAACUCGGUGCUUGCACCGGGGGAUCAGUGGCGAACGGGUGAGUAACACGUGAGCAAUCUGCCCCUAACUCUGGGAUAACUGCGGGAAACCGCAGCUAAUACCGGAUAAGACCCAGGGAGGCAUCUUCACUGGGUGGAAAGUUUUUCGGUUAGGGAUGAGCUCGCGGCCUAUCAGCUAGUUGGUGGGGUAAUGGCCUACCAAGGCGACGACGAGUAGCCGGCCUGAGAGGGCGACCGGCCACACUGGGACUGAGACACGGCCCAGACUCCUACGGGAGGCAGCAGUGGGGAAUAUUGCACAAUGGGCGAAAGCCUGAUGCAGCGACGCCGCGUGAGGGACGAAGGCCUCGGGUUGUAACCUCUUCAGCAGGGAGAAGCGAAGUGACGGUACCUGCAGAAGAAGCACCGGCUAACUACGCGCCAGCAGCCGCGGU